UUAUUUAUUAUUUAAUUUAUUAAAUUUAUUUAACAGAUUAAAUUUUUAUAUUUUAGAAAUAUUAAACAUUAUGAAUAUUAAUAAUUUAAAAUUUGUUUAUAUAAUUUUAUCUUUUUUAGUAAAAAUUCCAAUAUAUAUAUUUCAUGGAUGAUUAUUAAAAGCUCAUGUUGAAGCUUCAUUUUUUAGUUCAAUAAUUUCAGCUUCAAUUAUAUUAAAAUUAGGAAGAUAUGGUUUAUUACGAAUUAUAUAUAUAAUAAAAUUUAUAUUUAAUAAAUUUUAUAUGAAUUUAAUAAUAAUUAAUUUAAGAAUUAUAUUUUUAAAAAUAAUAUGUUUAU